UUAUUGGGGACGGAUGUCACGCUCCCAAUUUGUAACGCUUCUAGUGACUGCAAACUACUUAAAACUGGACUAUCAAUUCUACAGGAACAUGCUCAGUACCUCAAGUCACUUCUCAAGACAGUUGGAAAUAUUCAGAAGCUACAAAAAGGCUUUGUUAUUGACUACAAACCCUUGAAAAUUGAGUGAUACUGAACUGCAUACUGUUCAUAAUACAAUAUUUGAGCUUUUUUUUUCUAAAGAAAGAUACAUCAGCAUCUCAAGACAUUUUUUAAGACAAUUGAAAAUUUUCAGCAGCUGUAAAAAAGCAAUUUCAAACAUUUAACUCAUUUUUUAUUAAUUUUUCAUGAUUGAAUAAGAAUUCGGUCAAUUUUUGUUCUUACUAGUGACUGCAAACCAUCAAGAAUUUUCCUACAAAUUCUACAGAAACACGUUUAGUGCAUUAGGGCAAUUUUAUAUACCAACAAUAUGAAAGUGGGCAGGUCAAUGUCAGGCAUGGAUGGAAACAAUAUUCAAGGUCAUAAUCCAACAACCUUGGAGUGCGUCAGGCAAAUAUUCUAUGGAAACUUUUGUUUGCUGAGGCGUGAGGAGAGUGAAGAAUGCACUUCCUUAGAUAAAAUUUAUGACGGAUUGUCUAGCAUUCGGGUAACAUAGUACUGUGAACAAAUAGUGUCUAGAUGAGAGGUAGGCAACCGUGCCUCUUCCAAUAAUGAAAUUCCAGUGUGCUAAAAAUUUUAAACUUUUUUAGCUUUUAGUUUUUAUCGUUUUAAGCUCCUUCAAUUAUAUUGAAAGUGGAUGUAUUAUUUGUAUCUAUAAAUUUAUUGAAACUCACAGCAAAACAGUAAAUUUAUAAAAUGUCAAAAGUAGUAAAAAUAAAUGAAAAGUCUUUGCUAUAGCGAACAUUCCAAUUAAUAAAAAGAUUGAGAAAAGGUGUAAUGAAUUAUUUCGCAAAUUUCAAAAUGUAUAUUACGAUAAUGAAAAUUAAUUAUUUAUUAUUGGUCAGACAAACAGUCGUGAAUUUU